AUGGCGGGAUACUGUGGCCUCCUUCACGGCUUCCUGGUUUCUCGGAGGCCUCCGCCUGGUCCAGCCAAGGAUUCUGUGGGCGGAAGGACGGGUCCCGCGGCGCCGGACGUUGUGGAGAUCAGCUCCGAUGAGGAGGAGGAGGAGGAGGACGGAUCUCCCCCCGUGGCCAGGAAGCUGCGUUUUGACGAUGCAGCUGAUGGCGGGGUCUGCGAUCUCGUGGUGAAGAAGGGCGAGUCCGGUGGUGCCGACGGCGUUGGCGAGGACGACGGCGACUGCGUGGUUCUGGACGGCGACCCUUAUGCGGCCGUCGCCGUUGCGGAUGAGGACGGGGCUGCGGGGAACGAUGGCGGCUCGGAUGAGUUGCAGAUAGUUGCAGAGAAAGGCCAGGUAGCAUGCCGCGACUUCCCUCACUCACGCCAUUUAUGUUCUACUAUGCCCUUCGGCGCUACCUCCCACGAGAAGCACUGUACCAUGUGCUACUGCUUUGUAUGCGACGCCCCAGCUCCGUGCGCUUAUUGGGGUAAAGGUCUCUCGGCUGAUGAUCAUUGUCAUGCUACGGAUAAGGAAACAAAAUGGAAAACGAUGAGGCUUGCAUUCAAGUGCAAAGGGCUUCAGGCAUCUCAUCCAGAAAAGGAAAACCUUGUAUACCCUACAAUGGUGCACCCAACAGUGACAUCAGUUUUCAGCCGCCUUUCACUUGCCAACCGGAGUCCUCUUCGGAAUGUUGUGAACCGAAACCAAGAAGGUCAUACUUCAGUUAGAGCGCCACUGAAUGUACAGCGAACUGCCAGUGCACCAAGCCCUGCGACAAGAGCAAGCAAUGCUCACACUGCUCAGGUUACUCACCUAGUAGAGCCGACUAUCAGUGCACCAAGGCCACACCCCGCAAUAAGAGCUUCAAGUGGUACAAGCAAUGCUCACACCGCUCAAGUAACUCCCCCUUUAGAACCAACAGUCAUUGCAGCAAUGCCACACCCUGCGAUAAGAGCUGGAAGAGUUACAAGCAAUGCUCACACUGCUCAGAUCACUCAACCCAUAGAUCCAACUGCCGGUGCACCAAGAGCAAACCUUGUGAUAAGAGCUGCAAGAGAUACACACAAUGGUUACACUUCUCAAAUUAGUCACCGUGUGGAGCAAACUGUCAGUGCAUCAAGAGAAUACGCUGCAACUGCUGCGACGAGAGCUGCAAGACAUGCUAGCAAUGCUCACACCGCUGAAAAUACGUACCCUUCCACUGCCUUCAGCUACCUGCCAGAGCCAGACAGGCAUGAAGAGGACAGGGAGUACAUGACAGAGGAGGAAUACGUGCGAGAUGGCACAAAGUUGUAUGUUGGGAACCUACCUUACAACAUUGGCAACAGGGCCCUCGCGUUGAGCUUCGAGCAUGCCGGCGCCGUCCUGUCCUCGAAGGUCGUUUACAACAGAGAAACAGGCCAGAGCCGUGGAUUUGGGUUUGUCACCAUGGGUACUGUUCAGGAGGCUGAGAGGGCUGUGAGGAUCUACCAUGGCUAUAAUGUAGAAUUCUCAUGCUUUUCUGAUUGGCCUUCAAUGUGGGCAGGAAGUGUACGGCAGACGUCUGAUUGUGCGCAAGGCAGCUCCUAG
rnacentral:rRNA from 1 species